rnacentral:rRNA from 1 species
UUUAAUUGAAGAGUUUGAUCAUGGCUCAGAUUGAACGCUGGCGGCAGGCCUAACACAUGCAAGUCGAGCGGUAACAUUUCUAGCUUGCUAGAAGAUGACGAGCGGCGGACGGGUGAGUAAUGCUUGGGAACAUGCCUUGAGGUGGGGGACAACAGUUGGAAACGACUGCUAAUACCGCAUAAU